rnacentral:rRNA from 1 species
UACAGAGGUCUCGAGCGUUGUUCGGAUUCAUUGGGCGUAAAGGGUGCGUAGGUGGCUAGGUAAGUCGGAUGUGAAAUCCCGGGGCUCAACCCCGGAACUGCAUUCGAUACUGCCUGGCUGGAGUACUGGAGAGGAGAUUGGAAUUUACGGUGUAGCAGUGAAAUGCGUAGAUAUCGUAAGGAAGACCAGUGGCGAAGGCGGAUCUCUGGACAGUUACUGACACUGAGGCACGAAGGCCAGGGGAGCAAACGGG